rnacentral:rRNA from 1 species
UACAGAGGUCUCAAGCGUUGUUCGGAUUCAUUGGGCGUAAAGGGUGCGUAGGCGGCGCGGUAAGUCGGAUGUGAAAGCCCUUGGCUCAACUGAGGAAGUGCAUCCGAAACUGGCAGGCUAGAGUACGAAAGAGGAUCGCGGAAUUCCCGGUGUAGAGGUGAAAUUCGUAGAUAUCGGGAGGAACACCGGUGGCGAAGGCGGCGAUCUGGGUCGAUACUGUCGCUGAGGUGCGAAAGCGUGGGGAGCAAACAGG